rnacentral:rRNA from 1 species
UACGUAGGGUGCGAGCGUUGUCCGGAAUUAUUGGGCGUAAAGGGCUCGUAGGCGGUUUGUCGCGUCGGGAGUGAAAACUCAGGGCUUAACCCUGAGCCUGCUUCCGAUACGGGCAGACUAGAGGUAUGCAGGGGAGAACGGAAUUCCUGGUGUAGCGGUGGAAUGCGCAGAUAUCAGGAGGAACACCGGUGGCGAAGGCGGGUCUCUGGGCAGUAACUGACGCUGAGGUGCGAAAGCGUGGGGAGCAAACAGG